GGCCCAAAUUUGAAGUAGAGUGGAUAGGAAGGACCAUCUGACCCUACUAGACUACUCUUCUUCGAGUUUGUGCCU
rnacentral:pre_miRNA from 1 species